GAUUAAGUUAAACUGGGCCAGUAUGUUUUGAAUAUUCAUUUAUUCAAACAUGUUCUUAGUUUGCUGAGAAAGUCCUGGCAGAGGAGUCUCCUACUUUCCCAAACUCUGAAGGGGCAGUGGUUAAAUACAGGAGGGAAAUUGCUGUAGCACUUCUCAAUGAGACUGAUGAUCUCAGUGAGCUGUGCCACCACUGUGGAGAGGGAGAAGAAGCGCGAGGGGGGUCUCAAGACAGACCUGAUGCCACUGACUGGAUCCAGUGUGACACCUGUGGAAGGUGGUACCACGAGGGUUGUGUUGGGAGACCGGAUAGAGAUCCUAUGUACAGCUGUCCUGCAUGCCACCAGGCUCAAAUGAGUCGAUGCCGUCCAAAACGGUCCAAAAAAAUAA
rnacentral:lncRNA from 1 species